rnacentral:rRNA from 1 species
GGUGAACGCUGGCGGUAGGCCUAACACAUGCAAGUCGAACGGCAGCACAGUAAGAGCUUGCUCUUACGGGUGGCGAGUGGCGGACGGGUGAGGAAUACAUCGGAAUCUACUUUUUCGUGGGGGAUAACGUAGGGAAACUUACGCUAAUACCGCAUACGACCUACGGGUGAAAGCAGGGGAUCUUCGGACCUUGCGCGAUUGAAUGAGCCGAUGUCGGAUUAGCUAGUUGGCGGGGUAAAGGCCCACCAAGGCGACGAUCCGUAGCUGGUCUGAGAGGAUGAUCAGCCACACUGGAACUGAGACACGGUCCAGACUCCUACGGGAGGCAGCAGUGGGGAAUAUUGGACAAUGGGCGCAAGCCUGAUCCAGCCAUACCGCGUGGGUGAAGAAGGCCUUCGGGUUGUAAAGCCCUUUUGUUGGGAAAGAAAAGCAGCAGGUUAAUACCCCGCUGUUCUGACGGUACCCAGAGAAUAAGCACCGGCUAACUUCGUG